CUCGAGGCCACGCCUACUCCAGCGGGAGGGGGCGUGUGUUCCGCGAGUCUGCGCUUUGGUGCGCUGGCACAGCUGCUCGGAGACACAGCAGAGACCCCAGGAGACAGAUUUGGGGGAAGAUGUGUGCUGUUUAAUCUCCAGAGGUGUGUCAUGCUGGCUUCCUGAAAUGUAUUUGGCCGUUCUCAUCGUUGGAGAAGCUGAGGACCUCAUUGUCACUGAGGGUGACUUACGAAAGGGUGACGUAUGAACUCCUCAGGGGAGCCCUGGUUCUUAGUUUGAGCAUCACUUCUUGGCUCUAGUGCAGAAGCCUCAAUCUGCUAGCGCAGAUCCUUUACCCUGCUGGCACAGGCUUUCUAGCUUCCGCCACUGACUUUUGGACCUUCUCAGAGCAGAUCUGUAAAACAGACUUGAAUGAAUCAUUGUCGUGGGCUCUAGACCUCUAGCUGGACUCAUGAGAGGCAUUGUUACAGGCUCUAGGUUUUCAGCUGGACUCAGGCAAGACAUUGCUAUGGGAUCCUGGCUCUCAGCUAUAUUUUCUAGGUCUUUAGUGCUGUGGACAGAUUUCCUGCACUUUCAUGUAUUUAAUUCUGGGUGACCAUCAUAAAGUAUUAUAAAUUCUGUAUCUUGUAUGUAAUUGUUCUCCUUGCAACCCUUGACUACUACAUAACCCAACUCAAGAAGUGUAGUAACUGCCUGACAAGCAGAAGAUUGUGAGUUCGAUUCCUGGAACCAAAACAAAAACAAAAACAAACCAAAAAACAAAAAGCCUAACAAUCAUCCCUUCUACCACCUUUCAUUCACACUUUCAAUGAAUUGGAAUUUUUAGCCAGAUAUUUGGACAGUCUGUGAUCUAGUCAAACUGACAUGUAAAAUUAACUAUCACACAGACUUUCACUUAAACCACUGUUCUAGUAUGGUGUCUUCACCUUCAACUGUGUCUGCUGUCUCUGACUCUGUAGUCCUCCUACCUCAGUAUCUCCAAAAAGAAAUAAUUCUGCAGCUCCCUGGUUACAAAGGGGAGAUUUUGUGAGAGGAGGAAACCUAGAACGCUUACUGAUUCUGGGUUUUUAGCGUCUCAUUAACCUCAGACCUUGUGUAUAUUGUGGGGGCAGGGGUGCUUCCAUUCCCGAGUGAGGUUCUGUGAUGUUAGCUUACUUUGAAUUGUCACCUCUGAAAAGACUUGGGUUGCAGCCUUCUUUGUCCGCUGGUCUGGUUCUCACUGGACCAUGUAUUUAUCCUGUACUGUGUUUUACUUCCUAGAGCUGCCACGUCGAAUUAUCACAAAUAGAGUGACUUAAAACAACGGGAAUAUAUUCCACAUAGUUAGGAGGCUAGAAAUCUGAAACCAGAGGUCAGAAGAUUACUUCCUUAAGGAAGCUCAAGAGAAAAUCUGCUUCAUGCUUCCAUUUUAGAUGGUAGUCGUCAGCAUCCCUUUGCUUAUAGGUGCAUCACUCCAGUCAGUGCCUUUUUCAUUACAUGUUGUUCUCAUGGAUUGUCUCUGUCCAAAUUUCCUUUCUUCGUACAGGAACCAGUAUUAAGUUAGAGCCCAUUCUGCUCUGGUACUGCCUCAUCUUGGUCACAUCUGCACAGACCCUCUUUCUCAGUAAGUUAACGCUCCAUAUGCCUUUGGGAGAAUACAAAUCAACAUAUAUAGGUUAGCUCCUAAAUUUUUGUGGCCAGUUUUACAUUACCUCUUCUCUUGUUUUCUUUUUGUGGACAUAAGUGACCCUCUACACCCCGCCAUUUAAGCUUUCUUUUACCUUUGUUUUUGUAAGGUUAAGGAUUGAGGGCAAGUCAGUGUUUAUAAUAUGCUCUGCUAACUAAAGAGUUUAUUAUUACUGGCUUUUCUAGUUGAGUCAUACGAGGUGGCAAUUGAAAUGUGAAAAUUUAUACUCAUUAUGAAUACUUUGUAGUUCAAAAUUAAAACUUUGCUGCUCUAAGUAAUAGUCCAAGGUAUGAACAACUAUUUCAAAGAAAACAAGAGACAUUAUGGUAGCCACUGUUGAUUUCCUGCUGUGUUUUCUGAAAUACUGGGUUAUUUAGAUUUAAAAGUUACUGGACUUACUCCGUAGAUGAUGAGAUGUUAAUGAAAUAUAUAUUUAUAAUAUGUAGGAAAUGGAAGCAAGAAUUUCUAUGUGUUUUUUAAGGAGUUACUGAUUAUAAUAUUCGUCUAACUUUAAUCUCUGGUCAAAGAUAGAAAAUUUUAAAGGCGUGUGGUGGACUGACAACUGGUAGUCAACUUGUAACACUCAGUUGAACUGAAUCAGCAUGGUUCUGGGUGUGAAGGCCCACCUGAGGAUGUUGCCAACAGCAUAAAAAGAGAACUAUGGAGGAAGAUGGUACACUGUUGAUUCUCCUAGAGAAGCUUGUUAUGCUGGCUUUGCUGAUACGAACUUGACUGUUCUCACCACUGGAAAAGCUUGGUCCUUGCCGUUGCUGAGGGUGGCUGCGGUUCUAUUCAGGGGAGCUCUGGUUCCAAUUUUGAGCAUCACGUCCUGACUCCGGUGCACAUUCCUCAGCCUGCUGGCACAGAUCCUUCAUCCCACUGGUACAGACUUUCUAGUUUCCACCACUGACCUUUGGGCCUUCCCAGUGCAGAUCCUGAUACAGACUUGCAUGAGACAUUGUCAUGGGUUCUGGGCCUCCAGCUGGACUCAUGAAGAACAUUGUCAUGGUCUCUAGGUUUUGGAGAUCAUUGAGGCUGAGUACAUGUGCAGGGCUGUCGUAUGGCCCAGGCAUGAUUGAACUGAGAAUGAGGAGACACCUCAGGGGGCAAGAUAGGCCACAGCUGAAGCCACUUAGAGACUUUCUGGAUAGUUUUUCUUAAUUAGCAUUGUCUGUUGCUCUGAGGGGUCCUAGUACUCGUCCCAAGAUCUUGCUCAGGUUUCCUCUACUGUCCACUCAACUCCUUGCUUGUUCUAAUUAAUUGCAGGCUGCCCAGGAUCAGUUGGCCGGCCAACUGAACUCUGCUGAGGAAUUUAGUCCUCCUGCAGCCCUAAAAAUUAUGCCAUUGUCUCAUUCGUUUGGGCCUUUGCUGUGCACCCUUUUGGGGGAUUGGGAAUCUAGGCACAGACCCUAACAUCUAGGUCUUCAGCUGGACUUGUGCAGGAUGUUAUUAUGGGAUCCAGGCCCUCAGCUGGAUCCUUUGAGUCUCUGAUGUGUGGACAGAUCUUCUAUACUCUUGCAUCUAACUCUUUGGGUGUCCUAUAAAUUAUGUGUCACAUUAAAUCCUUUCCUUUUUAAAUCUUGACUAUAAAAAUACUUCUUUCCAAUCUUUUAUAUGCUUGGAAGAUCAUAGAUGUCAUAUAUAUCUUGUUACUAAGCACUUCCUUCAUAUUUUCUGUGAGAACUGACAAAAGACAGGACAAGGUACUACUUAGGAGUUCAGGUCUUAGAGUAGCUAGCUGUCAGCACUGAAAUCAUUUCAGGGCAAGAUGACCAUGUGUGGCAGUACAGGUACGAGGAAUUACAGGGUUACACAGUUCAAUUCAUAAGGCUCUCUCAAUGGUAGAAACCAUUCAUCUUAGCAAUCAGAAAUAGGUAAGUCCCUGUGAGAAAGGUUGUAUUAGUCAUUUUCCUGUCUCUGGGACAAAUUCCUGAUCCUUAUAACUUAGAGAAGAUGAAGUUUAAUUUGGCACAUGGGUUUUGGAAGUUUCAGUCCAUGACUGGCCUGCUCCAUGGCAGAAACAGCAUGCAAAAGUAUAUGGCAGAGAAAAACUGCUUAUGUCAGGGCAGUCAGGAAGUAAAGAGAAGGGGCCAGAGAAAAAUAUGUACAGUCUACGUCACAAUCCCAGUGGCUCACAAAGCUCACCUCCUAACAACAUAUGAACUCCUCAGUGGAUUAAUUCCUUGAUAAGUACAGUGUCCCCACAAUCCAAUCACCUUCCUAAAGCACCACUUCUGAACAUGUGGACCUUUGGGUGACAGUGUAGCAAAAGCUGUUGCCCCUCCCUGGAGGUUAAUACCAGCUUUCAGAAGGCCCAGACCCCUGCAAGGGCACUCAAGAUUUUCAACCUAUCCUGUAAAAGAUAACUCUUUCUAGGGGCCUUUGACAGUAGGGGGCUGAAUUAUGGCAUAUAGGUGACUGUGUUAAAGUAAGUGUUUGAAAGGGUGAACCUUUGUAUAAAUUUCCAGAUUAAAAGUCAACAGAAGUUUCAAGGGUAGCUGAUCCCAGCUGGCUACUAUAAAGAGAAGCUGCAAAUGAGCUGUACCAUUAACCUUUGACACCAUAAUUUGAUCUAUCUGGGUCAACUUGACCCUAAAGAAUCAUGCAACGGUGACCCAACUAUUCUACCCAUCACACUUAAUCCAGAUUGGCAGUCCUGGAUCUAUGUGCCUUUGGUUAGCACUAGCUGGAUGACCCAAACAUGCAUUUGCAAGAUUCCAGAUGUUUCUCAGUCUUCAUAUUUACACUGGAAAAAGAGUAGAGCCAAUUUAAGCAUCAAUUAUAUGUCAAAAUUAUUAGGUACAGAGAACCCUUUCUAGACCUCAUCACAGUCCAGGAAGUUUAUAUUUGUAAACCCAUGGAAAAGUUAUUGGAAUUCCAAUAAGUUUAAUCUAUCACUUCCAGUGCAACCCACGGUGAGAAUAAAGACACUAAGACAUAUUUAUAGUUAUGGGGAGCCAAGGGGUUCCUAAAUCCAACCAGGAUGAAGGUUCGUCAGAACAGAGGCCUUGACCCAGGGCCCAACCCAGACUUUGUUAAUUCAUGAAGAAGGGAGUGAUUUAAGGAUGAGUGACUGAGAAUGGCAGGAAAAAUGUAAGUGCUAUGUACUGGGGUAGGUAGGAGGCUUGAAAGCAUCUCUGCAAUAUGCAGAGAGAAGAAUAUGCAGGAAGAUGAAUCUGCACAACACAAUUGAGGUAGCUUCUGAUGUUUUGGGGAUAGUGCUUCAGUUUUGAUAUGUAAAGCUUUCUGCCCUGGAAGUCAUGGCCUCUUAUCUCAAGGCUUUAACCCAGCUGACAUCCCUGGAGCCAUGGCUCUUCAUCCCACCUGACUCACCCAUGUUUUUGGGAGUCAUGGUGUGGGGAAACAGCGACUGUCACCUAACCUCACAGGUUACACAUCAGCACCUCAGCCAGCCCUAUUUACAUUGCUUAAAGCCAAUUGAAGGGAAAAGGAGAUGGUUUAGCCAGCUCUGUGCAAAUCAGUAAAUGGAGAUAGGGCCAAGUUUAUCCAAGUUAGAGAUAACUUCUCUUUGUUCAGGGAGAGUCAUCCCAGUGGUGCUGCACAUUAGGCAUUGGAAAUACUGAGAUGUUACUGUUGCUGUGUCCUAGGAAAUUAUAGAGUGUACUGAAGAGAACAAUAAAGGCAGCAUAGUUAAUAUUCCUAUUAAUCACAUAAAUGAGAUAUAAGAAUUAUAUGUCUCUAUCACAUCCCAAGCUUUUAGACCCACAGUUCCUGAUCAGUCUUCCCCAAAGAACUGCUAUAAUCAUUUAACUCUUCAAAUACAACAGAGGUAGCCUGUUCUAAAAUCCAAGCGAAUACAGAAUAUUAUUUCUGGGAAAUAACAAAAGACAAAGGAGUAUACGUUGGGGACCAUGCUCAGUUAAUACAAGGAGUUUACUAGUUGAUGACAGAGCGAACAUCAAAAGCAGCAGCCAAGAUCAAGAGCUGGGAAAACUGCCAAGGAACAGGAGAUGGGAGCUUGGGGAGCAGUUUCGCUAGAAGGAUCCAACUAGAAAUUACUGCUGAGUAAUAUUUCUUGGCAAGAUUACUCACCCCUCCAAGUUUUUAAAAUUUCUGAAUAUAGCCAGGCAUGGUGGCGCAUGCUUGUAAUCCCAGCACUUGGGAGGCUGAGGCAGGAGGAUUGCGGGGAGUUCAAGGCUAGCCUGGGUUAUAAUGUGAGUUCAACACCAGUCUGAACUUCAUAGUGAAACUCUGUCUCAAACAAAAAAAUUUCUGAAUACAAUAUUAUGUAUUAAUUUUAGAAUAGUACAGUAAAAUGAGAACAAAAUUAAU